GAUGAACGCUGGCGGCGUGCCUAAUACAUGCAAGUCGAGCGAACAGACGAGGAGCUUGCUCCUCUGACGUUAGCGGCGGACGGGUGAGUAACACGUGGAUAACCUACCUAUAAGACUGGGAUAACUUCGGGAAACCGGAGCUAAUACCGGAUAAUAUAUUGAACCGCAUGGUUCAAUAGUGAAAGACGGUUUUGCUGUCACUUAUAGAUGGAUCCGCGCCGCAUUAGCUAGUUGGUAAGGUAACGGCUUACCAAGGCGACGAUGCGUAGCCGACCUGAGGGGGUGAACGGCCACACUGGAACUGAGACACGGUCCAGGAUCCUACGGGAGGCAGCAGUAGGGAAUCUUCCGCAAUGGGCGAAAGCCUGACGGAGCAACGCCGCGUGAGUGAUGAAGGUCUUCGGAUCGUAAAACUCUGUUAUUAGGGAAGAACAAAUGUGUAAGUAACUAUGCACGUCUUGACGGUACCUAAUCAGAAAGCCACGGCUAACUACGUG
rnacentral:rRNA from 1 species